rnacentral:rRNA from 1 species
CUCUUUCACCGGAGAAGAUAAUGACGGUAUCCGGAGAAGAAGCCCCGGCUAACUUCGUGCCAGCAGCCGCGGUAAUACGAAGGGGGCUAGCGUUGUUCGGAAUUACUGGGCGUAAAGCGCACGUAGGCGGACAUUUAAGUCAGGGGUGAAAUCCCGGGGCUCAACCCCGGAACUGCCUUUGAUACUGGGUGUCUUGAGUGUGUAAGAGGUCAGUGGAAUUGCGAGUGUAGCGGUGAAAUUCGUAGAUAUUCGCAGGAACACCAGUGGCGAAGGCGGCUUCCUGGUCCAACACUGACGCUGAGGCGCGAAAGCGUGGGGAGCAAACAGGAUUAGAUACCCUGGUAGUCCACGCCGUAAACGAUG